GAUGAAGGAACGUAGCGAAAUGCGAUAAGUAAUGUGAAUUGCAGAAUUCAGUGAAUCAUCGAAUCUUUGAACGCACAUUGCGCCCAUUAGUAUUCUAGUGGGCAUGCCUGUUCGAGCGUCAUUAAGUCCACUUAAGCCCUGCUUAGUGUUGGGAGACUGCUCCAGCGGUGCUACCCUGUAGCUACCCUGCAGCUCCUCAAAGACAGCGGCGGAGUUGUGGUAUCCUCUGAGCUUAGUAACUUGUUCUAGCUUUCGAGUACACCACUUCCCCUGCCGUAAAACCCUUAAUUUUUAAUGGUUGACCUCGGAUCAGGUAGGAAUACCCGCUGAACUUAAGCAUAUCAAUAAGCGGAGGA
rnacentral:misc_RNA from 1 species